rnacentral:rRNA from 1 species
GACGAACGCUGGCGGCGUGCCUAAUACAUGCAAGUAGAACGCUGAAGAGAGGAGCUUGCUCUUCUUGGAUGAGUUGCGAACGGGUGAGUAACGCGUAGGUAACCUGCCUUGUAGCGGGGGAUGACUAUUGGAAACGAUAGCUAAUACCGCAUAACAAUGGAUGACACAUGUCAUUUAUUUGAAAGGGGCAAUUGCUCCACUACAAGAUGGACCUGCGUUGUAUUAGCUAGUAGGUGAGGUAAUGGCUCACCUAGGCGACGAUACAUAGCCGACCUGAGAGGGUGAGCGGCCACACUGGGACUGAGACACGGCCCAGACUCCUACGGGAGGCAGCAGUAGGGAAUCUUCGGCAAUAGGGGCAACCCUGACCGAGCAACGCCGCGUGAGGGAAGAAGGUUUUCGGAUCGGAAAGUUCUGUUGUAAGUCAAGAACGGGUGUGAGAGUGGAAAGUUCACACUGUGACGGUAGCUUACCAGAAAGGGACGGCUAACUACGUG